rnacentral:lncRNA from 1 species
AUGGAUGUGGGCCCCUGGCGGCCAGCAGGAAUGCACAGCACUGCCCUUCGGCCCCACACUCAGUCCCUGUGCAUCCAUGUAUGUGGCAGGAGAGGAGGAUGGCAAAGCCCUUCUUGCCGUGCCAAGCCAAGCCGCAUCGUGCCAGCUGCAGGAGCUGAGCGGCUCCAUGGGCCACGCGGUGCCUGCCCUUGGGCUGGUGCCUGCCCCGGCUCCCUUCCCCACAGCCGACGUCCCCGAGAGCUGCCUGGGUGCCACGGGGCAGGGGACAUUUCGCUUUCCGCCCCAGCCGCCAGCUCAGCGGGAGCAGCACAGCGGAGGGCAGAGCCAUGCCGGCUCUCGGCCUGCCCGAGCUCUGCACUGUCUCGCUGGGCACGGGGCAGGGCAGGCUGGGCACCGGGUACAGGGCUCUUGCUGGCCUGUGCCCCGAGAAGGGCAGGUACCGCAGGGAAGUGCCACGAAGGCAGGACACCCAGGGGCAUCGUCCUGCGAGAGCCAGGGCCGUACCCUGCGGGCAUGGGGCCGCUUCACGCCGCUCACGCUUGGGGCAGCAGCAGCACCAUGGAGCUUCCUAAGCGCGGUGCUCUUCGUCCCUCUCCCUGGAAAAGGGCAGUGGGAGCUCAGCGCAUUUACAGGAAAGGCCAGUUUGGCAGAUGUCUGCAGAGGCAAGCCUGCUCAGGCAAACCUCACCACCCCCAUCCAUUCACAGAUCGGCCUGCGUGCCCCGUGGCCACACGAGAUGUCCUACCGCAUCCCCGUCACCCAGCAGGCCACAGGCGUGCAGGGCUCCCCGCUUCCUCUGCGCUGCAGCAGCACCGGGGCUCAUUUCCUGAAAAGGGCUGGAGCUGCGCCCACACCACACCUCUGUGCGCCUGCACAGGCUUUGGGCAGCCCCUCCUUAGGCGGGUUUUGCUGAUUACAAAGCCCUUUCUCGCCAUCCCUGCCCACCGCGUCCUCACCAGGCUGAAUGUCCCUGCCUUCCCCCUGCUCCCAGUUCAAGGUUCCCCUCGCCACGGUUGA